rnacentral:rRNA from 1 species
GAUGAACGCUGGCGGCGUGCCUAAUACAUGCAAGUCGAGCGAACAGACGAGGAGCUUGCUCCUCUGACGUUAGCGGCGGACGGGUGAGUAACACGUGGAUAACCUACCUAUAAGAUUGGGAUAACUUCGGGAAACCGGAGCUAAUACCGGAUAAUAUAUUGAACCGCAUGGUUCAAUAGUGAAAGACGGUUUUGCUGUCACUUAUAGAUGGAUCCGCGUCGCAUUAGCUAGUUGGUAAGGUAACGGCUUACCAAGGCAACGAUGCGUAGCCGACCUGAGAGGGUGAUCGGCCACACUGGAACUGAGACACGGUCCAGACUCCUACGGGAGGCAGCAGUAGGGAAUCUUCCGCAAUGGGCGAAAGCCUGACGGAGCAACGCCGCGUGAGUGAUGAAGGUCUUCGGAUCGUAAAACUCUGUUAUUAGGGAAGAACAAAUGUGUAAGUAACUAUGCACGUCUUGACGGUACCUAAUCAGAAAGCCACGGCUAACUACGUG